GAAUAUUAUAUUAAAGCUAACGGCGGAUGCUUGGCAAUGUAAGCCGAAGAAGGACGUGUGUAUGAGCACGAUAUCAUCGAUGAGCCCUCAGACAGGCAUUAUCAAUCGGUGGUUUCCGAAUGGGACAACCCCGGUCGUAGCAAUACGACUGACCUUGUUGAUUUAUCAGCAGGGAGGGAACCCGGUGAACUGAAACAUCUAAGUAACCGGAGGAAAAGAAAUCAAUAGAGAUUCUGUGAGUAGCGGCGAGCGAAAGCGGAGGAGCCUAAACCCUAAUCAAGUAUAGGGUGUUGCGGGACAGACAAUAUGGGAUCAUAUGUUGUUAGAUAAACGUUCUGGAAAGGACGGCCAUAGAAGGUGACAGCCCUGUAGUCGAAAACAACAUGUGCCUUAGUCUGAUUCCCAAGUACCACGAGGCACGGCAAACCUUGUGGGAAACUGGGGCGGUCAUGCUCCAAGGCUAAAUACUUACAUUGACCGAUAGUGAACAAGUACCGCGAGGGAAAGGUGAAAAGUCCCCCGGUGAGGGGAGUGAAAUAGUACCUGAAACCGUUAGCUAACAAGCAGACAGGGCUCCAACGCAAGUUGGGGUGAUGUCGUGCCUAUUGAAGAAUGAGCCAGCGAGUUUUUGACGGCUGCAAGGUUAACCAAUGUGAGUUGGGAAGCCGCAGCGAAAGCGAGUCUGAAUAGGGCGUUUAGUAGCUGUCAAAAGACCCGAAACUAGGUGAGCUAACCAUGAGCAGGGUGAACCUUGUCGAAAGACAGGGGGAGGCCCGCACCCGUUGUCGGUGAAAUGACUUGGGAUGACUUGUGGUUAGUGGUAAAAUGCCUAUCGAACCUAGAGAUAGCUGGUUCUCCCCGAGAUAUAUUUAGGUAUAGCCUUUUCGAGUAAGGUGGGGGGUAGAGCACUGGAUAGUCCUAGGAGCCUUUGGUAACUAGGAUUAACCAAACUCCGAAUACCCACUGUUCAAAUCGAAAGGAGUCAGGCUUGCUCGGAUAAGCGAGUAUGGUCGAAAGGGAAACAGCCCAGACUCCCAUCUAAGGUCUCUAAAUCAUUGUUAAGUGGUAAAGGUUGUGAGGUUUCAAAGACAGACGGGAAGUUGGCUUAGAAGCAGCCACCUUUUAAAGAAAGCGUAACAGCUCACCGUAAUAUACUCCGAUUCGUCGGAGUAUGAGACCUUGCGCCGAAAAUGAUCGAGGCUCAAACAAUGUACCGAAGAUGGAGAUUUCUAAAUUUAUUUAGGAGUGGUAGGGGAGCUUUCUGUAUGCAGUGAAGCUGUCGCUGUAAGGCAUGGUGGAGCGUACAGAAGUGAGAAUGCUGGCAUGAGUAGCGUAUACUCCAGAUGAAAAUUCUGGAUGCCGAAAAUCCAAGGUUUCCUCAGCAACGUACAUCGUCUGAGGGUUAGUCGGAUCUAAGUUCGUUCCCGAAUGGGACGAGUCGAUGUACAAGCCGUUAAUAUUCGGCUACCAAGUGCAAUGCGUUAUUACCAUAACGGUGACGAAAUAUGAUAAGCAGUGCCUUCUAUAUGGGGGUUUAAGCAGCAACGCAAGGAGCUGUGAAUACAAUCUUGACGCAAGUCAGGAAAGAUUGCCGCGUUAUGUUUCCGGGAAAAGCUGUUGUGGGAGUAUUGUAUUUGUCCGUACCGCAAACCGACACAGGUGGAUUGGUCGAGAAGACUAAGGCAAUCGAGUAAUGGUGGUUCAAGGAACUCGGCAAAUUAGCUGGACGUAACUUAGGGAUAUGUCCUCCCCGUAUCGCAAGAUAUGGGGCGCAGCAAAUGACUUUCAACUGACUGUUUAGCAAAAACACAGCUCCCUGCAAACCGGAAACGGGAAGUAUAGGGGGUGAGGCCUGUCCAGUGCCGGUAAGUCAAGAAUUGGGGUUGAGUCCGAUUUAUUUCGGACAAGGCUCUGAUUUAAGCUCCGGUGAACGACAGCGGUAACUCUGACCGUUCUAAGGUAGCGUAGCCCCUUGUCGGGUAAGUUCCGACCUGCAUGAAUGGCUUAACAAGUUGAAAACUGUCUUGAACUACUGCUCGGCGAAAUUGAAAUGGCUGUGAAGAUGCGGCCUUCCUGCACCUGGACAAGAAGACCCCGGGAGCUUUACUGAAACUUAUUAUUGAUAAGAGGCUUUUAACUGUUUAGCGUAGGAGGGAGACUUCGGUCACCAAUGAAACACCUCUCUUUAAAAGCUUUGAGUCUGACCCACCUUAUGGCGGGGACAGUAGUAGGUGGUCAGUUUAACUGGGGCGGUUUCCUCCAAAAAUGUAACGGAGGAGCGCAAAGGUCGGCUUAUUCCGGAUGGAAAUCGGAAUGUAUGUGUAAACGCAAAAGCCGGCUUAACUGUGAGGGAAACAUCCCGAUCAGAUUCGAAAGAAGGCGUUAGUGAUCCCCCGAUCGGCUAUGAUUGCCGGCGGGGCUUAACGGAUAAAAGCUACCCCGGGGAUAACAGGCUUGUCUCCCCUGAGAGUUCAUAUCGACGGGGAGGUUCGGCACCUUGAAGACGACAAAUGGGGUGCCUAUGGUAGCAAUACCGUACAAAAACAAGUGGCUUAUAACGGUGGACUCCAUAUAAAGCGUGUAGUGUAAACUACAAAUAGUAUGGACAAUACCGUGGGAAGUCUAUCUCAAGUACAAAUGUCUGUGGUUAUUGGGUCUCUGUUAGGUGAUGGAUAUUUAAGGAUAAUGCCUGGUAGACGAAAUGCAUUUCUUGAGAUUAAUCAUUCAUUUCAUCAACAUGAAUAUGUUGAUUGGAAGUAUGAUUGUCUCAGAAACAUUACAAAAAGUGCACCAAAAAUGCGUAGAAGUAAUGGAAAUAGAAGUGCAUAUCGGUUUUUUACCAAGCAACUUUCACAACUUACAGAACUUUAUUCAAUGUUCUAUAAAAAUCGAAAGAAAAUUGUCCCGAAAAUAUCGCUAAAUCCACUAAGUUUGGCUGUAUGGUAUAUGGACGAUGGUAGUAAAUGCCGAUCGACAGAUAUCUAUUUGAAUAGUCAGCAAUUUGACUAUACAAGCCAAAUAAAUCUUAUUGGAAUGUUGGAUGAAAUGAAUUUGAAGGUACGGCUUAACAAAGAUAAGCAGUAUCUAAGACUUCGAUUUCUCAAAUCCAGCAUACAUCACUUACAAGAAUUAAUAGAACCAUUUAUUAUACCUUCUAUGAGGUAUAAGCUUGAAAUAUGACCCCCUAGAGACUUCUUUGAAUAAAAACCAAAGAGAGUGAAGAAGACAUAUUCUUUGCUAACACGCCAACUCCUAUAUCAGACGUAUAGGAUGAAGAUAUAGUCCACACCAUUAGUAAUAAUGGAUAUAGUGCGAUGUCGGCUCACCGUAUCCUGGGGCCGUAGCAGGUCCCAAGGGUUGGUCUGUUCGCCCAUUAAAGCGGUACGCGAGCUGGGUUCAGAGCGUCGUGAGACAGCUCGGACUCUAUCCGGUGCAGGCGAUUGGAAUUUUGAGAGGGCUCUUCUUUAGUACGAGAGGACCGAGAAGAGGGAAUCCCUGGUGUACCAGUUGUCCUAAAAGGGCAGCGCUGGGUAGCUAUAUUCCUAUGAGAUAAAUACUGAAAGCAUCUCAAGUAUCGAAGCUUACCUCAAGAUUAGGAUUCCUUAUUAGUCCCCCAGGAGAUGACUGGUUGAUAGGCGCACGGUGUAAGAGCAGUAAUGCUUUUAGCCCAUGCGUACUAAUGGACGACUAUAAUAUUCCG
rnacentral:rRNA from 1 species